rnacentral:lncRNA from 10 species
CCGGGGUUGACAAAUGAGGAAGCCACGGCACUCCUAAGUCUGAGGAGAAUUAGAGCGUGGAGUGGUUCCCAGAACCUAGUAGAUCUCUAGCUGUAGGGUCCGCCUGCUUUGGUAGAAGAGCACAGCCAUUGCCAACAUGAGGUCUGGUGGGAAGGGAGCUGGGGAAACAAAUACCCUGACCACACUCUCAUCCUGCCUUCCAAUUCCCUCCCUUGCUUGCCAUUGGUCAAAUCCAACCAGAAGUCAGAGGGCAUGGAAGGUUGGUGAUGCAGUACUCAGAUAUCAGCCUGCAGGGCCACAGAGCAGAUGGGCAGGGUGGCAGCUGUGUCUGGAGGGCAGACAGAGACUGUUCAACAACACUUCUAAUCUUACCACAGACUAAUUUAUCCUCCCAAGAAGUAGGAAUGGAGUUCUCCUAAAGAUGUGGAAUCUGAGUUUGCACAGAGAGACUACAGGACUUGGAGGAGAAUAUGUAGGUGGAAGACAGCAGCGGCCAGUAUUGAAGCAGAGCCACCACCAUCAAUUCUGAUUAUUUUCCCAUUCUGUCACACAAUUGGAGAGGUGCUCUGUUUUCUGGUCUUCUUUUUCCAAAGAGUACAGGAAACAAGCUCAGAAAGCAAGAAUCAAAGUGUUUCUUUCCUGCCUCCCUAUCCAAUGUAACUUCUUUCUAAAACUUGGCCCUACCACUCUGUCGAGGUCAGUCUGACAGAGGUGGCUCUGCUUGUACCUUGUGGGGUCACAUAUUGAAAUCCUCCUCCCCUGAACAGCAGGCCUCGAUGUCUGCAGCAAAGUGUAAACAGCCUUUGGCCAGAUACAGCAGCUCCCGGGGUGCUGCUGGCUUUGGCUGGAGCAACCUUCUCCCUCCUCCCUGCCUGUCCCUCUCAUUAUACAGUGUCACAGUGGCCUGGGUUUCACACACACCGGCCUUUUUCUGGAGUAACACAUGCCAGAGGGGUCUGGAAAAGUAAACUGGGCUGCUGAGAAAACAUCAUGACUUUUUUAAAAAACAUUUUAAUUUUUAUUUUAAGUUCCAGGGUACAUGUGCAGGAUGUGCUGGUUUCUUACAAAGGUAAACAUAUGCCAUGGUGGUUUGCUGCACCUAUCAAUCCAUCACCCAGUAUUCAGCCCAGCAUGCAUAGCUAUUUUUCCUAAUGCUUUCCCUGCCUCAACCUUACUGCUGGACAGGCCCCAGUGUGUGUUGUUUCCCUCCCUGUGUCCAUGUGUUCUCGUUGUUCAGCUCCCACUUAUAAGUAAGAACAUGCAAUAUUUGGUUUUCUGUUCCUACAUUAGUUUGCUGAGGAUAAUGGCUUCCAGCUCCAUCCGUGUACCUGCAGAAGAAAAGAUCACAGUACUUUUUAUGGCUGCAUAGUAUUCCAUAGUGUAUAUGUACCAUAUUUUCUUUAAUGCAGUCUAUCAUUGAUGAGCAUUUGGGUUGAUUCCAUGUCUUCGCUAUUGUGAAUAGUGCUGCAAUAAACAUAUGCAUGCAUAUAUCUUUGUAAUAGAAUGACUUAGAUCCCUUUGGGUAUACACCCAGUAACAAGG